CGCUGAAGCCUGGUGCUUGCACCGGGUGGAUGAGUGGCGAACGGGUGAGUAACACGUGAGUAACCUGCCCCUGACUUCGGGAUAAGCCCGGGAAACUGGGUCUAAUACCGGAUACGACUGCCGGACGCAUGUCUGGUGGUGGAAAGUUUUUUCGGUUGGGGAUGGGCUCGCGGCCUAUCAGUUUGUUGGUGAGGUAAUGGCUCACCAAGACGACGACGGGUAGCCGGCCUGAGAGGGCGACCGGCCACACUGGGACUGAGACACGGCCCAGACUCCUACGGGAGGCAGCAGUGGGGAAUAUUGCACAAUGGGGGAAACCCUGAUGCAGCGACGCAGCGUGCGGGAUGACGGCCUUCGGGUUGUAAACCGCUUUCAGCAGGGAAGAAGCGCAAGUGACGGUACCUGCAGAAGAAGUACCGGCUAACUACGUGCCAGCAGCCGCGGUAAUACGUAGGGUACGAGCGUUGUCCGGAAUUAUUGGGCGUAAAGAGCUCGUAGGUGGUUGGUCACGUCUGCUGUGGAAACGCAACGCUUAACGUUGCGCGUGCAGUGGGUACGGGCUGACUAGAGUGCAGUAGGGGAGUCUGGAAUUCCUGGUGUAGCGGUGAAAUGCGCAGAUAUCAGGAGGAACACCGGUGGCGAAGGCGGGACUCUGGGCUGUAACUGACACUGAGGAGCGAAAGCAUGGGGAGCGAACAGGAUUAGAUACCCUGGUAGUCCAUGCCGUAAACGUUGGGCACUAGGUGUGGGGGGGCAUUCCACGUUCUCCGCGCCGUAGCUAACGCAUUAAGUGCCCCGCCUGGGGGAGUACGGUCGCAAGGCUAAAACUCAAAGGAAUUGACGGGGGCCCGCACAAGCGGCGGAGCAUGCGGAUUAAUUCGAUGCAACGCGAAGAACCUUACCAAGGCUUGACAUACACCGGACCGUCCUGGAAACAGGUCCUCUUCUUUGAAGCUGGUGUACAGGUGGUUGCAUGGUUGUCGUCAGCUCGUGUCGUGAGAUGUUUGGGUUAAGUCCCGCAACGAGCGCAACCCUCGUUCUAUGUUGCCAG
rnacentral:rRNA from 1 species